GCGCAACCCUUGUCCUUAGUUACCAGCACGUUAUGGUGGGAACUCUAAGGAGACUGCCGGUGACAAACCGGAGGAAGGUGGGGAUGACGUCAAGUCAUCAUGGCCCUUACGGCCAGGGCUACACACGUGCUACAAUGGUCGGUACAAAGGGUUGCCAAGCCGCGAGGUGGAGCUAAUCCCAUAAAACCGAUCGUAGUCCGGAUCGCAGUCUGCAACUCGACUGCGUGAAGUCGGAAUCGCUAGUAAUCGUGAAUCAGAAUGUCACGGUGAAUACGUUCCCGGGCCUUGUACACACCGCCCGUCACACCAUGGGAGUGGGUUGCACCAGAAGUAGCUAGUCUAACCUUCGGGAGGACGGUACCACGGU
rnacentral:rRNA from 1 species